UACGAAGGGGGCUAGCGUUGCUCGGAAUCACUGGGCGUAAAGCGCACGUAGGCGGAUUGCUAAGUCAGGGGUGAAAUCCUGGAGCUCAACUCCAGAACUGCCUUUGAUACUGAGGAUCUUGAGUUUGGGAGAGGUGAGUGGAACUGCGAGUGUAGAGGUGAAAUUCGUAGAUAUUCGCAAGAACACCAGUGGCGAAGGCGGCUCACUGGCCCGAUACUGACGCUGAGGCACGAAAGCGUGGGGAGCAAACAGG
rnacentral:rRNA from 1 species